rnacentral:rRNA from 1 species
ACUCAAAUGAAUUGACGGGGGCCCGCACAAGCAGUGGAGCAUGUGGUUCAAUUCGAUGCAACGCGAAGAACCUUACCUGGGUUUGAAAGGCUCUGUAAACCGGUGAAAGCCGGCUAGCGUAGCAAUACGCGCGGAGUACAGGUGCUGCAUGGCUGUCGUCAGCUCGUGCCGUGAGGUGUUAGGUUAAGUCCUGCAACGAGCGCAACCCUUACACUUAGUUGCCAUCAGGUAAUGCUGGGCACUCUAAGUGGACUGCCUACGCAAGUAGUGAGGAAGGUGGGGAUGACGUCAAGUCCUCAUGGCCCUUACACCCAGGGCCACACACGUGCUACAAUGGUCGGUACAAAGGGCUGCGAAGCCGCAAGGUGGAGCCAAUCCCAAAAAACCGAUCUCAGUUCGGAUUGGGGUCUGCAACUCGACCCCAUGAAGCUGGAAUUGCUAGUAAUCGCGUAUCAGCACGACGCGGUGAAUACGUUCCCGGGCCUUGUACACACCGCCCGU